ACAGACACUGUGGCUCAGCAUAAGACCAUGUAGAACAGGGGUCUCCAACCCUGUUCCUGGAGAGCUACCCUCCUGUACACUGAAAAAAUGGGACAAGGUGGACUGUCAGAUUUACGAAAACAUAUUAUGUGUGAUUUACUCAAACAUGUUUUGUUUCUCAACGUGAUUUCAUUACUUGCAAUCAAUGCAACACGAAGCAAAAUGGGAUCUACUAGUUUGAAGCAUGUAGGGGGAGUGUGAACCAAUAAAGUUAAUUCAUGACGAGUAAUCAGGAAUCAAGCUGCGCAAGAGAAGAAUCUUCCAGAAAGAAGGCUGGCAUGUUAGCAGAGAAGACAUUACCUAGAAUCUUGGUCAAGGAGAAUUCAUCAUCCCAUCAAUGCAGCAGAACUCAUCAUCCAUCCCUGCAGCAGAACUCAUCAUCCAUCCCUGCAGCAGAACUCAUCAUCCAUCAAUGCAGCAGAACUCAUCAUCCAUCAAUGCAGCAGAACUCAUCAUCCAAAAAUGCAGCAGAACUCAUCAUCCAUCAAUGCAGCAGAACUCAUCAUCCAUCAAUGCAGCAGAACUCAUCAUCCAUCCCUGCAGCAGAACAAAAGGCUUGAAUACUGUGCAGGCAGGCACACUGGACUUGGCCAGUACACAACACAAAAACGAUUUAAUCUGGCCCUGAACCUAGUCAUAAACCCUGUUUAUACCUGGUUCUAGCAUGUAUCCUUUGUCCUGAUCUUGUCCAUAUUCUGAUUAUGCCCACAUUUUCAGACAGGUGUAGACUAUUAAAAGAUACAUUAUGAUCUGAUAGUGAUCGGAUAUUGCAAGUGUAAACGGACAAGAUCAGGACAAUAUCAGGACAAAGGAACCAUGUAUAAACAGGGAUUUUAAAUAAGAAUCAUGUUCAAUGGAGAUUCACCAUUGAAAGUGGUUCUUAGUCCAAAAGACUAGAUUUAACCUGUGUCUGCGAAUCCGUCUCGUACAGUUUAGGAUUCAACAUUUUCUUUUUUUCAACAACAUUGAAAACAUUUAAUUAAAACAUUAGUUGGAUGUGAAAGCCCUAUUAUUAACGUACAUAUGAGAGAAUUUACAUUGAGCCAGACAAUCCUUUGCCAAAAAAAACAUUAAAUCAUCUCCCUAA